GUAAGAAGGGGAGAGACUCUUUUGCAGGGUCUGCUAUGACAGGACAAGGGGAAAUGGUUUCAAACUGAAAGAGGGGAGAUUAAGGCAGGAUAUAAGACUAAAUAUAAGUUUUAUAGAAUAGCUAGAAGUUUGCUGUAGUAAGGACAGUGAAGCACUGAAACAGCUUGCCCAGAGAGGUGGUGGAUGCCCUGUUCCUGGAGACAUUCAAGGUUAGGCUGGACCAGGCCCUGAGCACCCUGAUAUAGUUGUAUAUGUCCCUCUUUAUUGCAGGGGAGUUGGACUAGCUGGCCUUUAAAGGUCCCAUCAAACUCUAAGGAUUCUAUGAUUCUAUGUGUUUUCUCAGAGCAGGCUGCUCCUGCAGAUGCAUUUGGAGAGCAGAAUAGGUUUCCAGCUAUAGAAUGCAAUCGGGAACAGUCAGCAAUAUGGCAGUUCUGAGCUUACAAAGUGCCUUACCAGCAAGGCUUUUCACUACUCUGAGCCACUCCAGCAGAAAAUAAGGUAGUUUUUCCACCUCAUCUGUGCUCUCCUCAUUUCCUUUGGGAAGUCAGGUUUCCAUAGGAAACCAUGCUGUUGGAAGCUGAUUCUUCCAGAGGUCUAACACUAGCCUCUGUAAGUCAGGAAGGCAGCUUAGCAGGCCCACUGGGAAGUAGCAGAUGGAUAGGAAAAUGACAUGCUUUCCAAAAGUAUUUAAAUAUCAACUCUCUUUUGUUACAGCUGUGUAAGAGCCAUAUAAAAUCAAGUAACAUGUAGGAGAGAAAAGGGGUCAUGAAGGAGGAGUUUGAGCAAAAAGUAAUGCUAAAAAAGAAAAAAAAAUCCAUUGCAAAUGGUAAUGUAAAUAAGGUAAAACUUGAAAACUAUGAAGCAAUACUGCAGAUAGUCAUGUCUGAAGGAAUACCUAGAGGGUUCUUUUUGGUGGUGAUCUUCACUCCUGGAUCUGAAUUUUUCUGGACUGUCUCCCUUACCACUUCUGCAGGACACAAUUGCAACAGAAUUUUCCUUGAAUCAACGGAGGACUAUUACUUGAUGAGAUCAUUGUUUUCAGAUUUCCCCAGGAAGGAAAUACUGUCAACACAGUCAGUGUCUGAGUUUAUCCUCUCAGUGGAAAAGGUGGGUGAAAAACACUUAUUACUUCCUAUGUGCAUAAUUUAAACCUGUGAAACAUACUGCAGAAAUGUAAGGAGCCAUGAAUUUAGACACCGUUUUCAGCUAAAAUAAAGGUUAAAGUUUGUCUGUAGUGUAAGCCUGAGGUUGCAAAUACCCUCAGAAAAUGUUGAGUUUUGUGUGCAAAAGAGUAUGGUAGUGCAAGUCAGGCUGAAGGAGACAAAGUACAAAUUCAGAUAUUUCUAUCAGUAUUUACCUAAAAAUUAAAAAAUGAAACAAUAUUUUCCAAAGUACAGGCACACAGGCAGCAGGCUUGAAAAUUGCAGCAAUUCUCGGUUCUUUGCUUGUUCCAUUAUAUUUAUCAUAUGCUUAGUGCUUUAUGGGACUGGCAGCACAAAAUUUCUGAUUAGAAGUUUGUUCACUGUAGUUCAUCACAAAGUGCCUGUGUUCUUUAUGCUUGGUUGAACCACAAAGAUUCUUGCAGCAACAUUGUGAACAACUGGAUCCCAUAAUAUUUCAUGCAACAAAACUAUUGAACAGAAGGCAUGAUUUAGGUGCUAAAGUAUUUUAUGGCACAUAUUCUUAUGUGAUAUGGCUUAGAUAAGUUCAGAACUCUAUUCAGAACAUCCAGUCUUAGAAUAAGGGUUGAUAAGUUAUUUUGACAAAAAUCUGUUUACCUUCCAAAAAUGCAUACAUGCAGGACAAUCAGUGCAAACAAUGGACAGAGAAGAUAGUGAGUAAGAGAUUAAUUCAGAGAUCCUCAGUCAAAGAAAUAGUUCCACAUACUUUUUUAUUUUGUUUUGAGGAUAGGUAUGAUCCUACAAAGAAAUUUGCCACAAUCUUUUGAUAUUUAUGCAAAGGAGAACAGUUGACAGUAGAUAACAAUUUGAAUGCAGGCCUAAAUCAGGGGACAAUAAAACAUCACAGUAUAAGGAAGGCAUAGGUAUGCCAGCGUUAGCAAUGUCUAAAACCUACUCCGAAUUUGUGGUCACAGCACAAGGGAUAAAAUAGCAAUGUAGAAUUAGUAUGAUUUAAGAAAAUCGUAUAUGUGUCUUGACCUGCAGCUGACACCAGUUUAAAUUAUGCUGAAGAAUCAACUCUGACUCCUCAAUGCUACCAAAAUACUUUCUCCUGCAAACAAUGGAAUUAUCUCCUCCCACACAUACCAAGAUUCACUGGAAGUUCAAUGUAACUCAGCACAUGAAAGUAUUUGGGCAACAUUCAUUUCAUAUUUGUAAGUUGAAGUAAUAACAAGGAAAGGAGCUCUCUUGGGGACGGAUACGAAAUGUUCUGUGCUACCAAGAAAUGGAAAGAGGAAACUUGUAGAUGAUAAAGAUAAAAGUGCAAGAUGUACUGAAUGUCCUAAAGGGAAAGUAUACCCUGCAAAGCCCUCUGCUCGGCCAAUGUCUGUUGUCUGUUCUUUCUCUGGAGCUUUACUCACUAGAGAGCAUUACUCACUUAUAAAGUGAUUUAAGUGCAGGCCUCUUUGUCUUGUGGGUUUAUACAUUGGCUUUAGUCCUGUGUGCUUCUUAAUUUAAAUGCUAACUGAGAUCACAAAUGUCAUUGGGAGGUUUGUUCCCAAACAACCCUCUUGCCACUCAAGCCGCUUUGUAGCCUGAACUUUCCAGACAGGAGGUGUCUCUGGCCUUAUGAACACAAGAAUGUAAACCUGGAGAGAAGCCCCUCCAAGGUAAGAUAGUGCUUGUAAUUGUUUUGCUCUUCUACUUUUCUUGUCAUCAAGGCAUCAUGUCUUUCUAAAACAUAUGCUACAACCACAGAGGAAACAUCAUCAUCUUAGUGAAACAUCUGUGGGAAAAAAGCUUACGUGAGAUGUUGUACAUAGGGAUAGACUAGAUCUUACCAUGUUUACUUUCUGACUUCAGAACAAGUGGACAUUCAACAAUGGUAAGAAGCCCAAAUUUAUAUUGUAUUUGAAUUUCAUAGAAUAUUCACAGAAGAUGUGUCUGUAUAAUUACUAAUAUUCUCCUAGUAACUGUAAUUUUAAUAAUAAUGCUUGUGAUCAUUGGAAAAAAAAAGGAAAAAGUAAAUGCUCAUCCAGAACAUUCUGUUAAGCAUGUGGAUGAGUCAUUGAAAGAAAAAAGAAAAAAAAAUUGAGCUUUUUAUUUUUUUUUUUAAUGAAUUACUCACUCAUGGAUCUAGACACAUCUAGCAGAUGUCAGAAUGUGUGAUGUUCGUGUCAUCACAAGUGGCAAGUUAAAGCACAAUAACAUUUUUUUUCUCUCCUCUGCAUUCUGUGACGGGAUACUUGCCAUUACUAAGAUGUAGGAACUGUCAGAUUACAUUUCUCCCAGUCUUCAGAGACACUGCCACAUCAUAUACUCGUUUGAAAUCAGCAAUGUUCAGUUCAUUCUCUAUCUCAUUUUCCACAGAACUUUACCCUUUUACAAAAUUACUAAUGUGCUGCUUCACACACUGGCGUUUUUGCGAAGCUUUGCACUGGAGGAGGCACUCAAAGCAAAAGUCCUAACUCUAAGAUACUAUUUAUCAGCCACUAUGUUUUUCUGCUAAAAACAAAAAAGACACCCAGUUUAGUCAUCCAUAAGUCAGCCUAGAAAUCAUGAAAACUUUUCUUUCUCUCUCACCCACAUUUGAUAAAUUUACAACUGACUUUUCUGUUGACAACAGGAGAGAAAGAGGGAAGAGCAUCCCUUCAACUGUUAGCUGUUUUGGUGCAGAGAAUUGUUUGAAUCCAACUGCUGCAGGCUGAGAGCAGUGAAGCAAUAAUACAGCAGGUUUAGCUCCCAACUGUCCCUAAUUUUUUCAUUAACAAUCUUCAUAGUUUGUCCUCUGUCUAGAGAAUUCCCUUCAUUAAGUAUGCAGAUUUGGAAAGAAUGAAAAAUGCUUGGUUUUAAAAGCAAUGGCUGGAUAUUUCAUCAUAUAUUCCAGCUCCUUCUCUCAUUUUCACUCGUAGCACCUUGCUUAUAUGUUCUCUUUUGUUUUUACCUAUAUUUCUGCUUUUUGCCACAGAUGUUUUGUUGGGUUAUUUUUCCUGUCACUUGCAUGUUGUUUUAUUUCAAAUCCCAAUUUUCUGUUGUGAAAGGUUUGUAGAUGAAAAAAAAAGGAGAGACUAAGUUGCAGAGUGUAUUGACUUCUCUAGAUUUACAUUUCCAUCAACAUUCAUAGUAGUCUAAUUAAUUUGUGGACCUUGCAAGCUUUCUCCUUCCCAAAAAAAAAAAAAAAAAAAAAAAAAGUGUAUGUAGGCCAACUUAGGGUAGUUAAGAAUCACAAUUCAAGUUAGAAAUAAUAACAAUUCAAGAAAGAAAACAAUCACCAUUUUUGGUCUCUUUCUUUUCUGUAAGAGGUCAGAGCCAACACUUCCACUGAGUUCAAGAGGGAGACUUCUCUGCCUUUAUGGUCAAGUAAACACAGUUAAAAUACAUAAGCCAGACAUAUACAGACAAAAUACAUGGUCUGUUUCUAAGGCCAAAUUUGGUAACCAAUCACAAUGAAUUCACUGUUUCUAAAUGAGGGCAGAAGUUGUCCCUACAAGACAUUUUCUUUAUUUAUGAUUUUAGUAAGCUUUGUUGAGUUUAUCAAGGCCUUCCUUUUUUUUAGUUGGUUGGGUUUUUUUUUUGUUUGUUUCGUUUUUUGUUUUGUGCGCACAGACUAUCUCAUACGGUGGAUUAUUAUUCCUUGUCUCCGAGUAUAUGACAGUUUUGUAGCACACAAGAAAAAACAAUGUUAUGAAUACUUAUGUGCGGUAUCUUUCUUCAAGAUGAUGCUACUGUCUAUGCAAAGAUUGCAAUUUUGAGAUGAAAGAAAGGACACAUUCGUAAAUGGUAGCACAGUCCUGAAAUUUAUACUAUGGAUUUCAGCUUUUCAGUUUAGUUAGAAAAAUCUUCAGGCUUUCAAGGCAUCCUCUGCAGUGAUCCAGAGAUAAGCUAAACCUGAACAUUUUUUCAUGAAAAAUGAAAGAACACGUUGUUGCUAAUACACUAUUAGCUGAAGUUUUCCAAGGGAUAGGAUUGAAGCUCUGCUCCUUUCAAGAGACAGUCUGACAGCAGCCACACUAGAGCCAACUGUACAGUCACUCUCCAGUGCAGCCAACAAACAAGCUGAGGGAAGACAGCUAAGGGAUCAGACCCAGGUCUCGCCAUAGACGUAGCUGUUGGAAACAUUAUAUUCUGAAACAAAACUGAAAUAAAUUAUCAGCAGAAGUGUGGGACUGACUACACCCGGAAUGACUAAUAUUUUAAUGUUGAAGGAAAUUUCCCAGACUGCACUUUUAGAGACCACUGCUUAUGACUGAUAAUAUCAAGGACAGAAAGUGCAGGAAAGUAGUCAAGGAAUUGCUCACAGGAGGCUAAAUCUGAACACCUUCUUCCUCCUUGUUUUUGUGAUACUUGCUGAGAAGAUGCUGAUGUUUUCAAGGUCAAAGUUCUCCAAAGAAGGUUAUUCCAUUCUCUUGGUGAAUUCUCCAUGACCACAGACUCUCCACUCUGUGUAGGGGACAUUUUUUGAGGUACAGAGGAGAGUUAGAUGCCCAAUUCCCAUUAUUUCUCAAGGCAAUUACAUGCUUAACUGCCCUCUGUGCCUUUUAUAACCUUCCUUUUAGGAGUCAGAUGUCCAUGAUUACAUAGAUUAUCUACAAGUUUCACAACAGCAGUACUUUGAGGUACUUUAAAAUGCUAUUGGAAGGUUUGACAACAUACAUAAAAUGUAGAGUAAUGAUCAUAGAGUCUAUGGAUUGUUUGUUUUAAGAAGCUGAGAUUUUAAUGCAAAAAUAGGAUACAUUUUUAAGGAAACAUACCCUCAGCCUAAAAUACAUAUAAUUAUGGUUUAUUCUGUUGCUCCAGUGGAUUAAAACAUUCAUUAUACGAGCCACAGAUAAGAUAUAAUCUGGGAGGCUGAUGACUUUUGCAACAUCACAGAAGAUUAAAGGGGAGAUUUUGUUGUAAACUAGUUGAGUUUGUAGAAAAAAACUAUGUCUACUAUGUGGUAAAAUGAUUGCUGUCACUUUCAGCUCUGGCUUUUCUAUUCCAUUUUUCAUAGUCUAGCUGGCUGUAAAUCUUCAAAAUUGCAUAAUGCCAAUUAAGAAAAUAAAGAGCAAAUUGAGAUACCAGUACUCAUAGAGGAAUGUUGCUGGCUGAGGCCCCAGAUAUUUUUUGUGUCUCCAGUGAUUUGCCUGUAACUGUUCCAGGAAGUUUGGGAAAAGCUUUGCAUUGACAUCAUGCUAUAAAUGCUGGAAAAAGCUUUAUCCUGGGAAAAAUUUGAGUCCCAGUUCAGUGUCCUGGGUAACCUAUCCUACGACUUCUAUGGAUAUUCUCAAGGUUAAUGAAUUCAGCAGAAAUCUAACCCAUCUCUUUCUAUGCUUUCAAAGCUGUUUUAUGGAAGAAAAAGUUAACAAAUUUUUUAUAUCUGCAUUAUUUUCUCCUGAUUUUACUUUUCCCAAAAUCUUUUGUUUUUUGUCUUUUCAAGUGCAGCUGCUCCUAUGAACCACAUAAUAGGAAAGUAUGUUAUACUAUUAUACUUCAUUUAAAAAAAAUACUUUAACAGUAAUUUAUUCUCACUAACAAAAGAAACAGAUGAAGGAUGGCUCGCCUUUUCUUAAAACAUGGUCUUCAGGAUUGUUUGCUUCUUUUUAUAAAUUAAAAGCAGUAGACAUAAUGACAGUAGGCAUAGAUCAAACUAAUUCCUGGAAAAAAAUAAAACAUCAGAAGGGCCAUUUAGAUUCAGUUCAUAAAGAUAGCCACUGUGGAAAGUUAAAUCACUGACAAGUGAGCUUCUGAGGAGGAGGGAAAGCAUCCAGUGACUGUUAGGAUCAGUACUUAAUCUCUUAGUUGAAAAUUCAAUAGAGUUACUAUUUAGAGGGGUUUUAGUUUUCCAGGAAUUAUUGUUACUUCCACCACUUGUCAGUGAAUGGUUGGGUUUUCUGAACCAAACUGUGUGACUCAGAAUACUUGUGAUUACAUCUCUGUGGAAGUAUCAAGGACCAAGAAGAUGUGCUGUUCUUGCGGCGUCUGUCUCUCACACUGAUUGAGAGAAAAGCCAGUUGACUAGUUUGAUCUAGAAGCCCUAUUUUUAGAUGAACUGAUUUAGGCAAGAAAAACCUAACUAAAUAAAUUCCAAUUACUGUAUUGCUGUUCAUUUUCAAGUUAAAUCUUUUAGUAUGAAAGAUCUGCAAAAUAAUUUUGUGAGAAGUAACAAUCCUUUUCUUGUAAUAGUGGUUGGGAAAAAAAACAGGAAAUAGAACAACCUUGCAAGUUCAUAAGAAAUGAAUUUCUUUUGCAGUUAUUGCUAAAUGUGCCAUUUUUUUCUGACUUUUUAUUCUUUGUGUACAUUUUUUCAUAAAUAUGUUGUACGGGAAAAAAUUGUUUUAAUAACCUCUCACAUUUGGCAAACUGAAACCCCGAUGUCUCAUUUCACUUUUCUGAUAUUUCACAGCCAAGGAUUAGCAACAUUUUAGAAACAAUGCUAAGACUGUGUGUACUUGUUGUUUUUAAUAAAACUGUCAAGUGCUAAACCCUGUGAGUGCAUAGGUAUAUUUAUAGAUUAUUUCUCUCCAAAUGAAUACGAAGAAUUAUUUUUAAAACCACAUUCCCAAAUGUAAAGCUAGCAAAACAAAGCAAUAUUUCACUAUAAAAAAAUAUGCAAAAACUAAUACAUGUUUUGGACAGACAGAGAAAGACAUGUUUCAGUAUUCUGAAAAUAAUCUGAUUCUAAAUAAGACACACAAUAAAAAAAGAACUGUUAGAAACUAAUUUCUUUCCUUUUGCCUUCAGUGUUUUUUUUACUUUAUUCAAUACAGAUUAGUCAAUUAUAAUCUAGUACUACCAUUUCAGAGUAUAACAGCUAUUAUUGGACUUCAAAAAUAAAGGUAAAUGUUAUUUAUCUGCUUAUGAUACAGGUAAUGAAUCUCAAGUAUAGGCAGAUUACACCCAAGUUCAAAUACUUACAUUUAGUCACAUUUUUAGUUUUUAGUCACUUAUUGGAUUCAGAAACCCAAGUCAACUAAACUGUCUGUCUUCACAUAAUCAUUACCUUCCACAUUUACUAAAUCUGAAAGAUCUAUCUGUACCACUAUCCUUUGUAGACAGUGAACAAACCCAUCUAUUUUAUUCAUAACCUUCAGUAUCUGUAGUCACAUUUUCCUACCUGAUAUCAGCUCCAGAAAUGUUAGGAAUGGUGCCUAAAUGUUAUGUUUCACUGUGAUUCUUCUGAAAAGCAUCAAUACAUCGAGACAGUGUUCAUUUUGACGUUGGUGGCAAUGAGAACCAGAACUGCUCAACUCAAGGCUAGAGAUUCUCCUAGACUUUAAGAAUAGUUCAGCUUUAAGAGUAGAAAUAAUCUGAUUUGAUGUAGAUGUCAACACUGGGUUCUCUUGACAGACAGUGGAAAUCUACUCAGUAGUUCAGAUUGUGAUUCAUAUCAUUCUAAAGUAAACACUUAAAAUAGGCCAGAGAAACCAUACCCUAAUCAAGUCUGCAGAGACUUCAGAUGGAGCCUAAGAUGAUGAACUCAACUGAAGAAAGCUGAUGUUACAAGGAAUCCAUGCAUGUACUAUACAAUACAACAUUUAUACAACAUUUAUUGACUGUUGUAGUCCAUUGUAUCUAGUGUCCUAUAUUCCAAAGAAGAAAAAAAAAACACAAAAAAACCUGCAAGGAUAAAGAUUUUUAAGUCUUCUGCAAUCUUACCUGUAAAAUACAUCCCCAAACCUUAAUAAACCUUUUUUAGAGUUACAACAAAAAUAGUGUAAAGAGACUCUGAAGAAUUAAGACCUUUAAAAAAAAAUAAUAAUUAAAAAAAGUUGAAAUUAGACAUGGGAUUUCAAAAGCAAGGAGAUUUGAAUGUCUAGUGUAAACUGAGCAACCAUAUCCCUUGGGCUUCUUUGAAAGCCUAAAUAUUAGUAAAAGGAAAAUUAAAUCAGGAAAACAUUGGCACUUCUUACCAUUUUGUUACUGGAAAGGGACUGCAGCAAAAAUAGCUAGUUCUCUUAGAGCAAAUGUGUUAAUGUAAAGACACUGUUUCCUUCAUUCUACAAUAUCUUAUUUUUGGAGAAAAACAAGCAUUCCAGUUGCCACGUUUUAUUCAGUUCUGUUUUUUUCAGUUCAGGUGAAUCUAUAUUGAUGGAACCUCUGUCGGCUAAUUUUGUAAAAUACAACUCACAAUAAUCUUGUGAGCGCAGCUCUUUUUCUAAAGCACCAUUUAAAGCAUUUUAAAAGUUUGCCCAUGUUCCACUCCAACUACACAGCAUUAAGCUCUGUCCAUAAAGGAUUUUCUGAAGAGAUUUUGAUAGGAAGACUUGCAAUGAAUACCUUGACUAAUAAAAAUUUAAAAAUACACACUGUAUGUAUUUAUAUUAGUCUGUCUCUUUCAACAGGAAGUGUUAUAGAAAUGCGAUUACCAGACACUGAGGUUUUUUAACGUAUAAAAUAGGAAAGAGAGAGGACAAGCUGUGGUGAAGAAAAUGCAAGCAUUGUACAACUCAACAGACCUCCUGUCCCAGAGAGAUUUAUUUACUGGAAAUUACGGUGAGAGGAAAGAGACUAAAUAACUUUAAGUCCCAAGUUAUUAUGUCAUAUGUAGCCCCAUAGCACAAUAUAACUACAAUCUGCAGCUUUGUAAACUGAGCUGUCAAAUACUUGUUAUUUUAAAGCUGCAGCUUUUCAGGGUCCUCUGACAGCCAGUGGUCCCAGCUCUCAGCCUGAUUCAUUGCUGGCUCUGAGACAGAGGAAGUUCGCGUCUGCUGUAAUCUAAACACUUUGCAAAUGGAGCACUGGAACAGUGGUGAAAGGAGAAAACAGCCUAAACCCUAUAAACCAGACAAGAAUCCUACAAAGCUUCUGGGGAGAAAAGAAAUAAGUACAACAGUACAGAUUGCAAGAUCAGCAAAAGUAUUCAUGCAAUUUUAUUUUGAACAAAAACAUUGAUUUUAAGCCACUUGGAUGAAAAGCAGUGAAAAUUAUUCUCUGUCAAAAAUAUGGAAACAAUGUCCCAGAUGUGUACUUCUGCAACAUCUGUAUUUUCCAUUUCAAGCAUAAAUAUUAAAAGGUGGGUUGUAGGAGGGUAUCUCCUUUUCCUCCGUUCUCUCCUAUCCCUGAGAGUUGUUUGCUUAGUCCUUAAACUGAGAUCAGUGGUUGAUUAUAAAACAUAAAACAAUGCAGAUAAUUUCCAUUACUUUUUCAGAAGCAUCAUGCAAAUGUUAAAGGGAUGAUGUAUUCCUGGGCUGUAGUACCGUGUCCCUGUACUGCUGAGACAAUGAAAUCAGACGUGUCUAUAGUUUACUCUUUCUUAAAGGAAACAAAUGCCCAAAUUCACUGAGAAAUCUUUUUAAAAAUAAUAAUAAUCUUUUCUGAUUUUAGCCUUAUUACAGUACUCACACAAUAGUAGUCUUCCUGAUCUCCAGUACACAUCUGCUGUUCUUACCUUUGCUGUUGAACCAACUUGCACAGAGCAAUGCUCAUCUGCCAUUCAUCCCUCUCUUUAUAUCGUGGUCUAACUGAGUAUAGAAAAUGUUUAUCUUAAGUACUUAUAUGAACCUCAACUUAGACUUACAUGUAGCCUUAGGAUAGCAUUCUAGCUUCAAUUUUCUCUAAACUGUCUGGAAAAUAUAUGUUUCUGUAUAAAAGAAAACUUGGUAAUUCUAUUCUACCAGACCUCAUGGCAAUAAAAAACAAAUGUAUUUUUGUAGUUUGUGUUUGGUGAGUUACAGCUCAAUUCUUUAGCAUUCGUUACAUUGACAAUAAUGCAUUACAGAAGGAAUUGUUGCAAAAGAGAAGGAUUUUUGAGAAGACAUAGUAGUAUAAUUUGUACAAAUUCUGUUCAGAAAGACACAAUGCUGAAAGUUUUGGAACUUACUUGAAAUGCUUAUAGCAGCCAUAACAUUUGCCUUUCAGACAAUGAUUUAUGGGCAGCUGGAAUUUGCAUGCAUUGCUCCGAAUCUGUGGAAGAAUCUAUGUGGUUGUUCAUGGCCUUCAGAAACAUGGAUGCUGCAAAGCAGAGCUAUGGAGAAUAUGGAAAGCAGGCUCAAAAAGCAUCUGCAAAUCUGUGCCAAUAUUAUUGCCUCUGUCAUCAAGCAAUGGAAAGGUUUUUCUAGUUAAAUUCAAGUAAUUAAAUCUCCCUGCUCUCAUUAAAAAAAAUACAACUGUCUGCUGCUGGUCUGAAGAAUUGCACAGAGUGAACGUAAAUUUUAAUUUCAUGGUGCAAGUGUUAAAUUAUUGCCAUCUAAGCUGUCUGCCAGUGUUACAUGAAAUCCCACCACAUUUUAAUAAUUCUCCCUUUGUUUUGGAUGGAAAUACCACGUGUUGUGAUUUGGAAGUUUUUAUGUGCAAUUAGAGCCCUGAGAACUACAACAUAAUCACAUUCAAUUCACCUAAUUGGACAGCGAGGAAACUGUCAUUUCUGAAAUGGUUUGUGUCUUUUGGAAUGUCUGUGUGUAUACACAUGCGUAUAAAAUGAAACAUUUUCUCACCCAUCCUGUGUUAAAAUGUAAUAGAAACUCCUGCUAACUGAAGUUGAAGAUAUAGCUGGGUGUUCUUUAGUAACCUCAAAACAUAUACGUGUGCGUGUAAAUAAAAAACUGUCCUUCUAAACACAAGGAUCCUUCCCUCCUACUUACUUUGCAACAUCUUAGUAAGGAUUUGCCAUCAAUUCCCUCUCUUUACAGUGCAUUUGAUGACAUUUUACAGAUCAUCAUACUAAAUAAGUAAGAACCAUCCUCUGAUUUAGAAGAAAAACCUUUAUUUAUUUCAAUUUAUUUUGGGAGUUCAGAAGUAAUGACAAACUUGACAAUCUUCAUGACAAACAUGACAAUCUUCACAUCACUUUAAGCUGUGUGACCAAAAAGCCAUUAGCUUCACAGAAACAGACAAUACAUUUCAUCCUGAAACAACACUUAUGAUCAACAUUUAUGCAAUCUAUAGGUACUUCCUAUAUUUGUAUCAAUGCAAGUAAGAAGACAUGGAGUAUCAAACCAGCAAGGGCUUAGAAAUAUCAAGCCCAAGAGUUUACCCAUUUACUUCAGUGGAAAAUAGUGCUAGUAAAUAUCAAUACAUAUUUUAAUCUUUUAUUUCAGUAAUUUCCAUGUAAAAGCAAACAUAUUCUGCCAACUUUAUUCAUUGUCUUUGAUCUUUUUUUGAAGCAUAUUAUGAUAGAUUUCUGAAUCUUUUAAUUCAAUGUUGAAGUAGAUAUUAAGUAUAUCACAACACCAAUCCACACUAAAUAGAACUUUUGUUUUUUGUUCUUUUGCUGAAAUGUCUGACAGUAUUUCAAGAAUAAUUUAAUUAUGAACUUUAUAUUAACAAAAGACAAGUGAUUUUUUAUUCCAUUCAGUGUGGAAUAAGAUACUACCUAUAUUUGUUAAGCCCUGUGUAUCAACCAGAAUUUGCAAAGGGAAGUUAUCAACUUCAGAUACUCAUUCUCCAUUUCCCAUAAAUAUGUUAAAAAUACAAAGUCAGCUCCUAAGUUUUUCAUCAAAUAAACUAGCUUAUUAAGAUUAAGUGGCCUGAAACCACCAUCUGUGAGUUCACAUUUAUAUCUAGAAAACCUGUAUAAUCAUGUGUAUUGAGAGUAAGGCUUAGUGUUGGAAGGCCCAACCUUGUAAACAAGCUUUGUUUACACAAGAAGACAAUAGGACUCUUCUUUUGUUUCAGAGUUUACAUGUUCAGAGGCUGAGAUCACUAUUUUUGAAAUGUGAUGAUGGGAAUACAAAGUAAUUACCUUUAUGAAGGUUUUACAAAGAAUCCUGUAAGUAAAGCCCAUGACAGAAAUAUAUAGUGUCUCCAAAGAAACAAUUAUGAUGUAUUGUGUUUGAAUAAUAACUCAGAAUGUUUUAUCAUCAUCUGUUUACAUAAUAAGUCAUAAUAACUUUUCAAAAUAUGGUGCUUGCAUUUUUAUUAUUGUUUUAAGUGUACAUAGGGGAAUUACUACAGCCUAGAAUCAUAAACUUUGUAAAACUUUGUUGAAGACUGCAUUUUUAUUCCCAUCCUCUUCUGCUCAAACAAAAAUGUAAAGGAAACAACACACAAAUAAAAGUACGCUAAAAUAAUCCCAUGUGUCUGGCUAAAAGAAAAGACAGGAAAUUCUUAAAAGUGUGGUUAUAAACUGAAAAAUGCCUUUAAACAUGGCUUCCUACUGUCUCACAUUUAUAUAUUCAUAAUUAUUUCACUAUCAAUAUUUUCUUUGCUUAUAUGUACACAAAUUACAUUAUUCAACAUGCCAAGACCACAUUCUCAGUCUGAUAUCUGGAAUACAAAGCCCUGUUGUCACUGGCUUCUACUACAGUGUUAAAGAUGGAACUGAGAGAAAUUCCUAGAUUCCCUCUCCUGGAAACUUUAUGAUUUAAGCCUACUUCUGACCUUUAGCAAUAUUUCCUUGGGGAGACUGAGGUCCAAAUUAAACUUUCAGGAAUUACAAGAGAAAUUUCAAUGAACUCUAGAGAUGCCAGAAAGACAAAUGACAAAAGUAGUUAAAGCAAAAGUGCUGAGCACGUCUUAAGUGCUUCAAUUAGAACUCUUGUUCCCCACAGGAUGUUCCAGAAAGGUGUAGAGGUGCUCACAGACCCUCACAAUGGUUUCAGACAUCUAGCCCACAAAGUAGAAUCCAAAGCCAAGAUUAGAGAGCUGUUACCUACAGAGAACAGAUGAUGUUAUGUGAGAGGACUAACAAAGUAGAAACAUUAUGGAGUUAUCUAGAAUCUAACUCAUAAUUUUGAAAGUCAGAUAAUGCCAACCUAUGUAGUUGAGGCACUCUGUCACAGUGGAAGACUGUGGUUAUUUCCAUCCACUCAGUGUCCACAGACCAUCAAGGUAAUUCAAUUUUUGUUUCAAAGGCUCCGUUUUUUUAAAAAAACAUAACCACUGUUGAAGAUGAGAUGUUAAUAAUGGAACAUAGGAUUAUUCUUAGUUCUACUAUUUACUGAAAAAUAGACAUACAAACUGUGUGGGGCAAAGACAAAGGCCAGAAUCCUGCUUGCUCCAUAAAAAUUGUUUCCUUCCUCAUUUAUCUCCUUGAAUCUUAAUGAGUUUUGCAGUUGUAGUGCACAUCUGUACAGCUAUGUAGACUAGCCUGGGACCCAGUGGGUAAGGUGUGCCUCCUCAGAAAUUAGAGUUUAAAAUACCUGAGGUCAAAGCAGAUGUAAAAAGUUGUCUCCUUCUGAAAGGUUUCCAGUUUUAUUGGCAUAUACUACGUUUGUCUGAGUGCACUUUCCAGGUCUGUGCUAUAAGCUAACACUACCAUUUAUCUUCUGGAUUCCCAGACUGUUUAAGUCAGACAGAGGUACAUGCCCGCUUCACCCUGAGCCCUUCUGCGAAUGGUCAGAAACAGAAUACUGUGUGAUCUCAAAAAGAUUCAGAGCAAACAUGGAAGACAGUUAUGUUUAAAUGACACUCUGGUUGGGCAGGCACUGAACGCAGUAACAGUUUCAACAUAGACACCUUAAACCUUCCAGUAUUCUAUUUUAGGUUUGUUCUUCAUUCUUGCAUCACAGCAGGAGUUGUACCCUUUAUCAGUGUUGAUGUCUUCUUAAAAGAGGGUCUGUGACCGCAUUUGAAGUAUCUCUACUACCAGUUGUGGUGAUUUCACCCUGAUGUGCAGCUAAACUACUACAUCAUUCUCCUGUUACUCCUACUCAAAGGAAGAGGGGGAGAAAAUGAAAUGAAAAAAGGCUCAGGGUUUGAGAUUACCGUCACUGAUCAGUGAUUAUGAGAAUAAAUAAACAUAGUGUGGAAAAAUCUUUGUAUAGUCAUUAAAAUACCCAAGUGUGGCAUUCUAGUAGAGAUUUAAUAAGGAGAAGAAACUGACCCUCAGACUUAGGAAUUCAUUUUCUUUACUUUUCUACAAGGACAGACAUACAUCUCUCUAUCUAAUUUAUAUAUACAUACGUAUAUAUAAAGCAAAGCUUUUAAAGAAUUUUUAUUUAUCAUUGUAAAAUCUCUACUUAGAAUUGGAAAGAGAUAGAAAAAAAAAAAGUAGACUUUGAUUAUCACCUUGAUACAUCUAAGUGUUUACAGUGGGAGCUAAGCUGUAGCAUAGCAAUGUAAUAAAAAUAGAAAGUAAAGUGACGUAAAAAGUGCACUGAGGACUACCUUAUAACUAAUUCCAAACGUUCAAGAAUAGUAAAUGGUUAACAGUGAUGCAAAAGGAAAUUACAGAAAAAACAAUCAAAAAGGACUCCUAAACAAUGAAAGGAAACAAAAAAUUAAUAAAGCAGAAGACUGAAAAACAGAUAAGGAGAGCAAAACGGUGAAAGAUUUCACAGAAGAUUAUGAAAUUAGCACAAAAAAUUUUUAAACAAUCCUAAGAAUAAACUGUCAUUGAAGAACAGAAUAGGGAUUGUGGAGGAUCAUUUUUUAAGGGAUGAGGUAAAAAAAGAUGGAAAAUUUAAACAAAUUCUUCGCAUAGCUGUUCAGAAAGAAAUGUCAGCUCGCAGAGCUGUAGAAAUAUAGGUACAUAUUUUCUGGAGCAAAAGGAAGGAUAAAACACCUAAGUAAACACACACUGUAUGUGACAUAGUACAGAUGACAAUCUUAGCAUGUAUCACAUAAAAUAAUUUCUCAGUGCUAAAGCAUAUGCACUUCAGAAUUCACAGAAAGGGACAAAAAACAGCAUCACUCUUCACAAGACUAAUUUACAUCACUUCACCAUUCAGAUAACUUUUCCUUUUCAAAAUGUUGCUUUGAAGUCACAUGGGCUACUUACAUGACUGACAACUCUAGGACUGCAGUGAAAAAGAAGUUUCAGUGGAAUUAAAGAAAAAGUAACGGGAAGUGUGCAGGAGGUAUCUGUGCAAAGAAGGGCCCCAUGCAACUCCUCUCACAGCUUGCCUCUAAAAACUCAAGAACUGGGUUUAAAUGAGAGAAACACCUUGUCUUUCUGGCAAGUUUUAGCAAUGCCUUCUAUGCAGGAAAGCAAUUUGCUUCAAGACCAAACAGAAAUGCACACUGGUUAAGAGUGAUAUAUUACAAAAACAACAGAGUAUAGCUAAAUUCAGCAAAUUAUGAAGCAAUGGCUAUUUCAGUGAGAGUCAGAGAUUCGUCUAAUGAGAUCCAGGAGUUUCAGCUCUGAACAAAAAGUGAUGAAUUCAAGCUUAAAUUCCUACAAGUAACCCCUAUUCUACAUUAAAGGUAACCAUCCAUCACAUUUUUAACUACAUCUACAAGGGAGUUCAGUAACUUCAGUCUAAAAAAUUCAAAACACAGACAUAUUUUCAGCCAAAACAAAGCCAGAGCCAGCAGUAAUUUUAAUUCUUUUCACUAAGUAUUGUUCUGGCCAUAAGACUAUGUGUAAAAUGGAUGUGGUUGAAGCCACAAUGGACUGUAAGGUUUAUAGGAUGAACAAGUUGCUAAGGAAGAGCUUGCAUGCCUAAAAACUUACAUUAUUCCAGCUGGAGUGCAUCCUGUAACAACAGUACUUCUUUAUUCUUCCAUAUCUUCCCUAAAAAGCUGAGCGCUCUGGCUGAAGACAGGCCAGGAGAGGCGCAUGGAUGUUUGCCUUCUUCAUGUUGCCUGAAAACCUAGUCCUUGUCUCAUCUGGGAACAGGACAGUCAUGCCAAGUGGAUGCAUCUCCCUGCAUCUGUGGAGAGACAGCAAAUGUGCUGUCUGGAAAGUAUCUGUGUUCUAGGAGGUGAGAAACUGGCUUGGGCUGUUUGAUUUCACUUCUACUCAGAGAAAUGGGGCAAUGAACUUUCUAAUAAACAGGUUUGGUUCACAGAGGGAUGACUCCACCAUCGAUCAUUCCACCAGAGGAAUAACUCAAGAUUCGAAAAUUUUAACCAGAUAAUUUUAUCAAAAGAAUAAUAAAAAAAAAAAAAAAAAAAAAAAAAAAAAAAGGACCAAGUAAUGACUUAAAACAAUUGCUGUGAUAUUACAUCUACAUAGGAUCUACUGGCCUAUAUGUCAGUUUUAAUCUGCCACUGGUUAAAUCCUACAUACUGAGCAAAAUAACUUACCAACACAAUACAUGCAAAGUAAAUAAAUACUCAAGCAACACUCUAUGUCCCACAUCCACUCAGAUACCAGAAGUGUGUAUUUCCAGUCUGUGAAAUACAAUGAUAAGUAAAAACAGUGAUUCUCCAUGAGUGCAUUACUCAGAAGAAGCAAUGUUAAGGCAGUCAGUGUGAUCUUUAAAAAUCACUCCCAGUAAAUAAAUAAAUAAGCACCUCUACCUGCACAGCUAUCUGAAGACAAGUUAACAAAUUCUGUUUUCCACUUAUUAGCAAAUCAGUUGUUCUGUAAAGAAUACAUGAUCAAAACCUACAGCAACAGCUGGCACAUGUAUAAAGCGGGGCAAAAAAAUUAAGAUGAAGUAUUUCUGACAAAAAAAUAUAUGAAACAAAACAAAGUUGAAAACUGAAGCAGAUAUCAGAUAACCAUUUUGUCAUUUAUAAAAUACUUUUUCAGGACAAAAGGGGUUGCCAUACCUUUUCACUCAGCAUAUCCUCAGAGUCACAUAUUAAGCUGAUCAAAUCCGAGGGUACUGCAGUAAGCUGAAGCUUGAAGCUGCCUCCACUUCCUUCAUUUCGUUUACAGUUUUGUUUGGGGGUUGUUCUUUUUUUUCUUUUUAGCUUGCAGAAACCUGAGGGAAAAAAUAUUUUGGGGGUUACUAUCGAAAUAGUUUAUUCAGUAGUCAAUUAACUGAAAAAAACAAAUAGUUCUAAACUGAUCUCUUAUAUACCAUGCCCCUUUUUAUAUCAUAGUUAUUGGUUCCAUUCUGUUGUUAUAUUUUACUGAAAACAUUAUGAAUAUAAAUGAGAAUAGUGCACAAAGAGCAGAGGUGAAGAUAUGUCCCAUUAGAAAUCUGCUUUUUUACUUACAUUUACUGAGGUUAUCAAGUACCUCUUUAUGAACUCUUCAUCCCUUUCUAAAAGGUAAAGUUGAAAUUGGGAAAUAUAUUGCAUCAGUUAUUGGGCAUUCUGGGGUUUUCCAUUAUUUUAAAAACCUCCUAUGUGCCUAAUUAUAGCUAAUAAGUACUGUUUAGAAACAUAGCAGAGAACUCAUGAUUUCCUUCUUCACCCAAUGCCCAGAAAAUCCAUGUCCGAGAACAAAAUCUUGAAGGUAUUUGUGAUCAUGACCCAUUCUCAUUAUCUGUAUCCAUUCUAAGAUUUUUAUAUUAUAUGAAUGAAUAUUUUAAAGUGAAAUUAUAGUAUUCAAUGGCAAAUUACAACUACAUGUGACCAAGAGAGGAUUAAACCCAUCAUUUUGCUUAAGAGCUCUGAUGGCUGGAGUAAUUGGAUGAUAGCUGUAGGGCAUCUUUUUGGUCUGUAAUUAGGUCAUUUCUUUCUCAUCCCUUCACUGUGUGUAUAAUUACGAAUUAAUUUGAAAUCCCACUGUGAGUAAAGAAAGUCAGUUUAAUAUAACGGAAGUGCAAAAGCCACAAUAUAUUACUUUUUAAAAACUGCUUAUUUCAAAAUACUCAGUCUGGCCAAAAGUUAUAUCCCUAUGUACUGCAAGGCUUAUAUUUGGUUUCUUUGCUAACUUUGUACAAGUGCUGCUCUGAAAGUAAUGCCUCCUGUUUUAUUAUGUUGGUGUGCAAUGUCAGAGGUGGAUUUUGGUGGUACAUCAGGAGAGGUUGAACCUUCACACCAGUAUUCCACUACAUUUUGUUGCUGUGUGACAGAUGGCAGCAGAGGGUCAGUCUGACAAAAUGGCUUCUGACACGGAAGCAUCUGAGAAGAAAAGAUGUGGAACUGAAUUCCUCCAUGUGGUAAAAAAAUUGCAUCCAUUGACUUUCACUGAUGCUUGCUGAACAUUUAUGGAGAUCAAACAGUGGAUGUGAGCUCAGUGAGGUUGUGGGUAAUGUGUUUCAACAGCAGUGAUAGUGGCAGUGGUUCACCUCCACCGGUGCAAAUUUUUACAAGAACAGCAAGCAGGUUCUCGUUCAUCGUUGGCAAAAAUGCAUAGCUAAUGACAGUGAAUAUGCAGCAAAAUAAAGUUUGUAUUUGAGAAUUUUCUCUAUGAAAUAGUGUUAUUGUGCUCUUUGUAUUUGUUGCAGUUUCUAUGGAAAUAAACAGCAAGUAUUACUUUUGAAUCAAUCUACGUUCCUGGAUGUAUUUUCUCUCUUAAAAUAAAUGAAUUUUCAAAGCACCACACUUUGCUCCAGUAUCUGUCAGUAGGUGUCAACAGCACAAAAAGGUAGUGGAAAGAAAUAAAAAGUAACCAUGAGAGUCUUGACAGACAGUAUUAGCAUCAGAGAACUUAGAGGCCACUCUCAACACAGUCAACCAUUUUAUCCUUUAGUCCUGCCAUUAUUUCCUUCCACUGAAACUACCUUUCUGCUUUUACCCUGAAAGUGUUAAACACUGCACAACCCUAACUAGCAUACCUGCUACUAUGUGCAUCAGGAGCUCACCAUUUCAUCAUCUGGCUGAGAUAUGCUGCUGGCAAGUUCUGCUUCCCUUCCUUUAUCACAACAUUGUGGUCGGAUGCAUCAGACCUCCCUCCCGCCUUAGCAAUGAUACAGGUAAAAACAUGCAUUUCUGACAAAUGGAUAACCCCAAGCAGAUCUGUGGAGACAAUGUUUUGACUUGCUGAACUUCCUGUUUCAUUCUGUUUUCAUCUGUCCCCAGAAACCUUGAAAGGGGUCGGUGAGAGGGUCCCAGGUGUGAUCUGAGCACCAGUGAUGUCAACAGCGAGCCAGGGGCUGUGCAGGGUGUGAAGUUAAAGGGAAGAGCAGAGAAAAGACUGUUGGUGCAGAGAACAAGGGUACUGAGAUUUGACUGUAUUUGUAGCUGUGCUGUAAAAAACUGUAAAACAUCCCAUGCCGUUAGCAUAAGAUUAGAUUUCUGCCAGGAAAAAAAAAAAAAAAAAGAGAGAGAGAGAGAGAACAAAAAGAAAUGGAACUGCUUAGAUAUAAGUUCCAAAGUUCAUUAAGAGGGUUCUUUUCUGCAUAGCUCCAAAGCUAAGAUGUGCUAAGGCAUGUAGAAAAAUAAGGAGGUGUUAAAAACCUACCCAACUUCUUAGCUUUCAAAAAAAGUUCAAAGUCCUAGUCAUCGAUUAUUUACAUGGUGACCUCCAGGCCUAUUUGUGAUGCCAAAAAAAUUGUACUCAGGAAGGAAGGAAGACAUUAUCAAAAAGGAAAGAAUUUCUGUUUAAUCUAAUAAUGCCUUUAUAAAAAUAACCAUUUUCUUUUACAUAUAAUAAAAAAUUCAUUAGAAAAUCUCAACAUAUUUUUAUAUAAAAAUAAUAACUGGCAACAUAGCUAGAAAUAAGAAGCAGAGAAAGAAACUUGGAUGCAUUUCUUGCUUGCAAGAGCAUGAUGAGGAAAUAAGGUAAUCUAGUCUUCCCAUUCUGAACAAAAUAGACAUGAUAACAGAAUAUAUAAAUCAAGACAUUUUUGGAGAAAUAAUGUCACUCCAUAAUUUUUGAAAGUAGAAAUAAUUUAAAAUUCAUGCAUGAAACUAAAUAGGUAAAAUAUGUCAUUUUGAAAUAACAUAACAGUAAAAAUAAUUUGUAAAACUUUUUUUGUUUUUUAACUGAGUCUCAUUUUAUACUUGGAAAAUUUUCUUUAGAAAAUUUUCAACCUCUUCUAUGUAGCUCCUGGGUAAAUAUGGAGGUUUUAUGGAAACCAAACAAAUGAAUUAAAUGACUACAAGAAUUAUUGGCUCUAAAUAUAUACAUUUUCUUCUGAUGCUACUAGAAUGUUACUAGUAUAUACUGUAUGAAUUAUAAAAAAUGUUAUGACAGAUAUGGAAGUAAUAUACUUCGGUGAUAAAUCUUCAAUAGAAAGAAUUUAUUAGAGUCAUAUAGAUCUACU
rnacentral:lncRNA from 1 species